UUUAUAGGGAGUGGAGCUCUUGAGAGAAAGGGGCUGCAGGAGACAGCCCAGCAGGCACCUAAACCACCCAUGAGAGGUAGGAGUCUUGGAGUCAGGAUACCAUCUUGGGAAGCAUGAGAUAUGAGCUUGAGUCCCAUCAAGCUAAGGCGAGUCUAAAACACGGAUCUCCAAUCUUCCAAUAUAGCGAUCUAAGGUGCCAGUCAACUAAGUUUAGAAGUUGCAGUACUUAAGUGGAGGAAUGGAUGGGACCAAUCUGGAUCAGAUCUGUAGUAACUACUACCCAACAAUUUGAUAACAUACAAAAUUACCUGGACAGGAAGACAGACGGAGAGAGAACAUAAGACUUGUUUCAUAUCUCAAUACCAUGAAUUUAUUACUACAAAACUGAUAUAUCACAAAAUGCCUCUGUGUAUGUACAUGUGUGCAUUCAUCUUUGCUUACAUGGCCUUUACAAUUAAGGAAAAUAAAAUAUGUGACACACCCAGAUCCUGGAUGCAGUCAGGUGUGCCUUUGAGACAUACUCUUGGGAUGUUCUCAGAGUCCCAAAACCUUCUCUGCCAUCUGCUGCUUGACCAGUGAGAAGCAACUAAGUCCUGACCAGUGGUGCAUCAGCUUUACCCACCCCAUCUAUGUCUUGCCAGGUCUUAGUAGAGGUCAUUUUGUCAGGCAAAUGGACCACACUUUGUCUGGUUAUGUGCUCAGAAAAGACAGAUUUCUUCCCUUCCUUGGAAAAGGCCUUCCUGUAUGUCCAAAUGCUCUUAAAUCACAGUUACCACUGACAGUAAAUGUGUUAUAAAAAUAACAAAAAUGGAUUAUAAAAACUAUUAGCAAUCAUAUGUUGAGAUAUAGAAAGAAAUAACAAGGCUGAAUAUAUCCUGACGCUACCUCCAUGGAGCAUUAUCUGAAAUGCUUCCAGUGUCACAUGUAGGGUCAGGUAGAUUGGCAGAGCUACAGAGUCUCAAUGCAUGCCUGAAAUGAGGGUGUAGGGAAGAGGGAUUUAGGUUUAUCAGGAACUGGGACCUUUUGAAACUGCAGGAACCUGCAUAGGAAGGAUAGUCUCCACCAGAACCAAAAGGGUACCAAAGUGCUGGCACAUGACGCUAAAAAGGUGGUAGAGAAGCUUUUAAACUAAAAACUGGGAGAAAUCUGACAGGUGUGGAAUGGUACACAGUUCCAGUUUUUACACCUUAAGGGGUAAAAUCAGAAACAAUGGAGAUAAGAAAUAGGGAGGGAGUACUUGAGUGAAAUGCAGAGA